rnacentral:rRNA from 1 species
UGCCUUACACAUGCAAGUCGAACGGCAGCGCGGGGUAACCUGGCGGCGAGUGGCGAACGGGUGAGUAAUAUAUCGGAACAUACCCUAGAGUGGGGGAUAACGUAGCGAAAGUUACGCUAAUACCGCAUACGCACUAAGGUGGAAAGCGGGGGAUCGCAAGACCUCGUGCUCAUGGAGUGGCCGAUAUCUGAUUAGCUAGUUGGUAGGGUAAAAGCCUACCAAGGCGACGAUCAGUAGCUGGUUUGAGAGAACGACCAGCCACACUGGAACUGAGACACGGUCCAGACUCCUACGGGAGGCAGCAGUGGGGAAUUUUGGACAAUGGGGGCAACCCUGAUCCAGCAAUGCCGCGUGAGUGAAGAAGGCCCUCGGGUUGUAAAGCUCUUUUGUCAGGGAAGAAACGGUGGUUCCUAAUACGGACUGCUAAUGACGGUACCUGAAGAAUAAGCACCGGCUAACUACGUGCCAGCAGCCGCGGUAAUACGUAGGGUGCAAGCGUUAAUCGGAAUUACUGGGCGUAAAGCGUGCGCAGGCGGUUUUAUAAGUCUGAUGUGAAAUCCCCGGGCUCAACCUGGGAACUGCAUUGGAGACUGUAAGGCUAGAGUGUGUCAGAGGGGGGUAGAAUUCCACGUGUAGCAGUGAAAUGCGUAGAUAUGUGGAGGAAUACCGAUGGCGAAGGCAGCCCCCUGGGAUAACACUGACGCUCAUGCACGAAAGCGUGGGGAGCAAACAGGAUUAGAUACCCUGGUAGUCCACGCCCUAAACGAUGUCUACUAGUUGUCGGGUCUUAAUUGACUUGGUAACGCAGCUAACGCGUGAAGUAGACCGCCUGGGGAGUACGGUCGCAAGAUUAAAACUCAAAGGAAUUGACGGGGACCCGCACAAGCGGUGGAUGAUGUGGAUUAAUUCGAUGCAACGCGAAAAACCUUACCUACCCUUGACAUGGAAGGAAUCCCGAAGAGAUUUGGGAGUGCUCGAAAGAGAACCUUUACACAGGUGCUGCAUGGCUGUCGUCAGCUCGUGUC